AUAUCCAUAAUUCCAGGAAAAUGCGCGACAAGUUGCAUCAGAACCUUUAUACUAGAUAAUUCCUCGCAUUUACAUAAUACUUGCUAAUCUCUCUGACACAACAGCUUAGAGUUGUAACGGAGUUCAGAGAAAUCCAAUCCCUCGUGUGUUUUAAACAUUCGAGCUUCCAGGGAUUGUAAAAUUCCUCAACAUCAUCGAGUCUAUUAUAGUUUCAAAUAAUUCUAUUAUAGUUCUCGCGUGACUCAACACUUCGACGUUCCCGAUUUAUUUGAAGAGCGACGCGUUACCUACCAAGGAUAGGUCUAUCACAGAACACCUGGAGAUAAUACUCAGCCGUGGACACGUGGCGAGGCAGCAUGUCCUUAUCACCUGUAAGAACCAUAAACAAGGAGAAUCACGUCUUCAACAAUGAAGGAGGAGGCAUGGAACUGACGAAGAACCAUAGUUCCGGUCAUCUGGCCAGCGAGAGCGGCAAGGAUGGCCGAGUGUUGGUCCUGUACACUGGCGGGACUAUUGGAAUGAUUAGGAAUGAACAUGGAGUUCUUGUGCCCAAGGCGAACGCGUUCGUGAAGAACCUGCGGAACUAUCCUCACAUGCACGACCGCGAGUACGCUGAGAAGCGGUUUGGAAGCAUGGGACCCCUGGUGCUUCCGAUGACCGCCACGGACAGCCGACGAGUCGUUUACAGCGUGUUGGAGUACUCACUGCUGUGCGACUCUAGUAAUAUGACCAUGGACGACUGGAUCCGUAUCGCUAAUGAUAUUAAGCAAUCUUAUGAACACUUCGACGGAUUCGUCGUGCUCCACGGAACGGAUACGCUCAGCUACACAGCGUCCGCUCUGUCGUUCAUGCUCGAGAAUCUGGGCAAGAUAGUGAUAUUAACCGGCUCUCAGGUGCCGAUUUUCGACACCAGGAGCGAUGGUUUGGACAACUUCCUUUCUUCCCUGGUGAUAGCCGCGAAUUACAACAUACCAGAAGUGUGCGUGUUCUUUGGAACGAACUUGUUGAGAGGCAACAGGACUAGCAAAGUCUCUGCUACGUCUUUCGAGGCGUUCGACUCCCCUAACUUUCCACCGCUGGCGAAAGCUAACAUUAAGAUCGAAGUGGAUUAUCGAGCAAUUUUUCGCUCUUGUACAUUGGAGAAGUUCCACGUGCACGCAGUCCUGAACAGGAAUGUUGGGCUGCUCCGCAUUUUCCCAAGCAUAACCACGGAUCUGGUGAAGGCGUUUUUGCAACCUACUAUCGAAGGUGUCGUGUUGCAAUCUUACGGGGCAGGAAACAUACCUACGAAUAGGGAGGAUAUAAUGGAAGAACUACGGAAGGCUGCGAAACGCGGGGUGAUCAUAAUUAACAUAACGCAGUGCUCGACGGGCUGCGUCUCGGGAAUGUACGAACCUGGGAAGCAGCUCGAAGAUGCUGGUGUGAUAUCUGGUUGUGAUAUGACGCCAGAGGCUGCCCUCACCAAACUGUCGUACGUGUUAUCAAAAAAGGAAUGGGACACUGAAAUGAAACGGCAAAUGAUGCAGACGAAUCUCUGCGGAGAGUUAACUGCGGGACGACCACCUCAGCUCCAAGAUCUAGACCUGGUGGAGGCGGUUGCUAGGUCCCUGAGGAUCUCCUCGACUGCAGAGUUUCAGGAAUUGGGCACCAUUCUCUUUCCUGCUAUGUUGAACGCCGCUGUCCUAGCGCGCGACGUCGUAAAACUCGAAUCUUUAAAAGGAUAUGGAGCAGACAUUUCUCAAAGAAAUGCUGAUGGUCGCACUGCGUUACACAUUGCCUGCUGUGAAGGAGAUUUGAACGUCGUGCAGUGUCUUCUGAGAAUGGGUGCGAAUGUCCAUAUCAAAGAUAGAUUUGAUCGUACUGUGCUCACUGAUGCCAUAGAAUAUGAUCAUCACGAGAUUAUCAAAGUAUUACUUCAAUGUGGAGCUCACCUGCAUGGAAGCGCAUAUCUGAUAGGCGAGAAAAUUUGCGCUGCAGCGGCUGUAGGAAAUGUGAAACGACUGACAUCGUUUUAUUUGGCAAACGCUGACCUCUCGCAGAAGGACUUCUCUGGAAGGACACCGUUGCACUUUGCUGCAUUGCAUAAUAACGUGCAAGCUCUUAAGUUCCUGUUGGAUUAUGGCGUAGAGACGACUUGCUAUGACAAGAUGGGUUUGACGCCGUACGACCUCGCCAAAGCGGCUGGUUCCACACAAGCGGAGUUGAUGCUUUCGCUUCCAGACCCACCGAACCCUGCACCGAGUGUCGCGGUCAAAAUUACUAGAUGAAAGUACAAAUGUGAAAGUAUGAUGUGAAAAAUUAUGAACUAUCAAAGUAUGACUGCAAUGUUGUCUAUGGUAUAUAAAUUAUCUUUUUAUCGAUUGACAAUCGAUUAAUCCUUAUUUAUUUUCUAAUUUAUAUACUUACUAUACAUGCACCAGCCUUGAAUUAAUCCCUCUUGAUGACAAAUUUUUUCUAGAUCAUGGUGUCGUUGAAAAGUGAAAGUCUGUACAACUAUAAUUAUAUCUGAAUCAUGCGACGGCGUUCCACGUCACGCUUACGCUACUAUAAUAAUGUAUUUCCUAGAGCAACAUUAACUAUAAACUCUUCUAUGAUAUGGCUUAUCGAUAAAUUUAAAGACUAUUUUACUUUAUUCAUACAUAACAAUACAAAAAUAUAACGAGGAUACUCGAAUAUUAAAAUUUUGCUCCAAAUAGCAUGUUGUGUAAGAGUUUUGGUGUGUAUUAUUCAGAUAGAUUCACUCACACGAUUCCCAAUUCGCUCAUCAUGGUCUUGAGAAGUUUGGGAGUAAUCAGACAAUCUUUAUAAACAUGAGCGCAAUCGCGGUUUCCUUUUCGUCCCACGUUCACAGCGUUUUGGAUGAUGGUGCCAUUUGUUACGUCCUUGAACCACUCAUGACUGUAAUACGAAAUAAACAAAACAUCAAACAUCAGAACAUGUAUUAGAAACUCCAUCUGGUUAAAAUAAAAGUAAUUUUA